CCUACGGGUGGCUGCAGUGGGGAAUAUUGGACAAUGGGGGCAACCCUGAUCCAGCCAUGCCGCGGGUGUGAAGAAGGCCCUCGGGUUGUAAAGCACUUUCAGUGGGGAAGAACGCCUGGGGGUUAAAACCAGUCAGGAAAGACAUCACUCACAGAAGAAGCACCGGCUAACUCCGUGCCAGCAGCCGCGGUAAUACGGAGGGUGCGAGCGUUAAUCGGAAUUACUGGGCGUAAAGCGCGCGUAGGUGGCUUGAUAAGCCGGUUGUGAAAGCCCCGGGCUCAACCUGGGAACGGCAUCCGGAACUGUCAAGCUGGAGUGCAGGAGAGGAAGGUAGAAUUCCCGGUGUAGCGGUGAAAUGCGUAGAGAUCGGGAGGAAUACCAGUGGCGAAGGCGGCUUUCUGGACUGACACUGACACUGAGGUGCGAAAGCGUGGGUAGCAAACAGGAUUAGAUACCCGAGUAGUC
rnacentral:rRNA from 1 species